GAAGGUGUAGCUUAAUGGAAGAGUGUCUGCCUCUUAAGCAGAAAGAUGUGGGUUCGAGUCCCACCGCCCUCACCA
rnacentral:tRNA from 1 species